rnacentral:piRNA from 1 species
UCUUUAAGAUGUAUCAGGACUGGUGAAGC